CCUACGGGAGGCAGCAGUGGGGAAUAUUGCACAAUGGGGGAAACCCUGAUGCAGCGACGCCGCGUGAAGGAAGACGUAUUUAGGGAUGUAAACUCCUAUCUGCCGGGAAGCAAAUGACGGUACCUGACUAAGAAGCCCCGGCUUACUACGUACCAGCAGCCGCGGUAAUACGUCGGGGGCAAGCGUUAUCCGGAUUUACUGGGUGUAAAGGGAGCGUAGGCGGUUUAGCAAGUCAGAAGGGAAAGCCCGGGGCCCAACUCCGGGACUGCUGUUGAAACUGUUGAACUAGAUUGCAGGAGAGGUAAGUGGAAUUCCUAGUGUAGCGGUGAAAUGCGUAGAUAUUAGGAGGAACUCCAGUGGCGAAGGCGGCAUACUGGACUGCAAAUGACGCUGAGGCUCGAAAGCGUGGGUAGCAAACAGGAUUAGAUACCCCAGUAGUC
rnacentral:rRNA from 1 species